rnacentral:rRNA from 1 species
GACGAACGCUGGCGGCGUGCUUAACACAUGCAAGUCGAACGGUGAAAGCGGAGCUUGCUCCGCUGGAUCAGUGGCGAACGAGUGAGUAACACGUGGGCAACCUGCCCCUCACUUCGGGAUAACUCCGGGAAACCGGGGCUAAUACCGGAUAUGACCUCCUUGGGCAUCCUUGGAGGUGGAAAGUUUUUCGGUGAGGGAUGGGCCCGCGGCCUAUCAGCUUGUUGGUGAGGUAGUGGCUCACCAAGGCGACGACGGGUAGCCGGCCUGAGAGGGCGACCGGCCACACUGGGACUGAGACACGGCCCAGACUCCUACGGGAGGCAGCAGUGGGGAAUAUUGCGCAAUGGGCGAAAGCCUGACGCAGCAACGCCGCGUGCGGGAUGACGGCCUUCGGGUUGUAAACCGCUUUCAGCAGGGUAGAAGCCGCAAGGUGACGGUACCUGCAGAAGAAGCACCGGCUAACUACGUGCCAGCCGCCGCAGUAA